AAUGAAGAACAAACAUCAUGAACAUGUUGAUCCUACUGACUCUUCUUCAGGUGUGUAUCAUUUAUAUCUGACACAUAUGUUUAAUUUUCUGUAUCUCCUUCUUGUUUCGGGUUAAUGAGUGUGGUUAAGGAAGUUGACCACACAGUUGUAACAUAAAUAUUGAACUUUGUAGAAAUAGAAAUUUUAAUGAAGUAGAAAAAGCAAGAAUAUGGGUAACCCACGAUUCUCUGAAGACACUCAAUCCGUAAAUGCACAGCAAAAAGACAAAAUCGCAAUGAAACAUCCGCUUUUAUUGUUGUUCUUCAUCUUAAAGUCACAGUGAGUGGAUUUGAGCGUCACUGAUGAGUCUUCUGUUGAUGAAAUACGCGUCUGGCGUUAAUAUUAACUUUAAUCCUGAUAUUCAUGGUGUCUUGUUGCAACCACUUGGUCGAUGCCACUGCUAGUGGAGAGAUUCACCAGCAAAUUGCAUUAUCAUUGAUAUGGUCAUAUUUAUAAAUUAAAUGUUUACAAAACAUUUGAAUAUUUGAAAUACUACGGCUUUUCUACCUCAGGAUUUGAAUACCUUAGCUGAAUUUGGCACACAUUUUAGGAAUUUUGGUCCUCAAUGCUCUUCAUCAUCGAAUUUUAUUUGGCCUUUUUUUUAAUCGAGCGUCACUGAUGAGUCUUUUGUAGACGAAGACAAUAACAGUCAAAACCAAGGAGUAAAAAAAGACUCACAAAAACCAAAGGACAAUUACAUCAACAGUUAUAAAUAAUAAUUAAGAAACAACACGAACUCCACUAAAAACCGGGAGUGAAAUCAGGUGCUCCUGAAGGGUAAGCAUUUCCUGCACUAAUGCGCGUCUGGCGUAAAUAUACAUUUUAUAUCUAUUGUGAGUUUUUUUUUUAAUGGAGCAAAAACAAAAACACUUUCAUUUCACUGUCAUUUAAAGAUGUCCCUAUCAACGGUUAGAAGGGACUUUUUUUGCCAAACUGACGAUCACCAAAUGCGUAUUUCGGCAAAACCCAUCUGUUUCGUGAUACACGAUACCUAUUUUAGAGGUGGCGUGAUUCAGAUGAGCAUACUUAAACAUUCAAAUAUCUUUUAGAGUAUCUAAAAUCUAAGACUCGUUCAUCUUGAGAUCUUAAUAAAACUUUUUUUACUUUUCCACAUUUUAUACAAGAUAGGGUUACCCAUUCCAAACUAAAAAGACAUAUUAAAAGGAUUUUUCCUGCUUUUUUAAACAAAAAAGAGUAGCCAAAGAAGUUUUAAUUAUAAUUAAACUUAAUUUUCUGCUAUAAAGAUGAUGUCCUAUCACUAAAUAUUUCAAAAUUUGGUGACUAUAUUGAACAUAUCCAUUUGAGAUAAUUAAUACACCAGAUACAAUUCGGUAUACCUCAUAUCUUGACUAAGAUACUUAUAGAAACUGACAAGUAGGGUUUGUUGAUUACAAAACUUCACGACGAAAGUAAUUAUUUCGGCUUCCAAAUUGUGAACAUUCCAUUUCUAUGUAGCAACAUUCCAGCAGCGCUUGCAAGCGGAGUAUAUAUUUCCCUGUCGAUACAAUAUUGUAGGGCUUGUUUAUCUAUCAUUUAUUGGUGCUAACAAUGAAGCUAUUUUACCAAGAGUUUCAAGUAAUUAUAGUCAUCAAAGGUACCAGGAUUAUAACUUUAUACGUCAGACGCGCGAUUCGACUACACAAGACUCACCAGUGACGCUCGGAUCAAAAUAGUUAUUAAGCCAAACAAGUACAAGGUUGAAGAGCAUUGAGAACCCAAAAUUCAAAAUCAAAAAGUUGUGAAAAAUACAGAUAAGGUAAUAUAUGCCUGGGUUAUGAAAAUCCUUAGUAUUUUAAGAAAUUCAUACUUUUGUAAACAGGAAAUUGAUAAAAUAACCACAUAAUUCAUAUUUGAUUGAUUGUCAUUCCUUUGUCAAUUUGACGGACGCAGUCACGAAUUGGUUGACCGUAAUGGAAAUACCGUUUCAAAAAUGAUUCGCUUACCAUUCCUGAUCCCCUGAGAUCGUUUUAAUUUUUUUUUGUUGGGUUCGUGUAGCUCAUUUUGUAGCCAUAGGUUGUAAAUUGUUUUACAUAUGUUUAAAUGUCCCUCUGGUAUCUUUCGCCUCCAGAAAAGCGCUUAGGACGCUUAAAAGUAUGCAAUUGGUUGUUUACAAUUUUUUUUUUUUAAAGUAUAGCAAAAAGCCGGGUCAGGAAUCAGAGCUUGCAUAAGAGAAAUACACACCUUAAUUUAAAAUACUUUCCAAAAUGAUGUGUGAGCAAAGUAUUAAAACAUUAUAUCCGUACACAUUCGUAUUUGAUUUGGCCUAGCAACAUCAUUGGCUAGUUUUCAAACGAACGUCUUUAUACACAUUUUAAGGCUGGUGUGUUUGUAUGAUUUAACAUGCUCACAAACUAUCGCCUAUGUGCGUUUGUGUAGACAUAAUACAAUUUUAAAAGAAUAAUUGCUUGAAUUAUUGAUGGAUAUGCAUUCAUUUAUUUUGAAGAUGGUAUAUUUAAAUGGAGCAUACAACUUCACAUGUCCAACGCAGGCACACUGGAAUCUUCGGGCACACUCCAUGUGUAAGCCUCAAAGAAAUUAUACUUGCUUAUUUAACGUAACGUUUAGAGUAAAUGUAUACAGAGAAACAUGUAACAGACCUAGACUUUUAGGUCCUGGUAAGUCUUUUGAAAUAUCUUUAUAGUUGUACUGUUAAUACUAGCAUGGUUUUAAGCAAAACAUAUAACCAAUAUUUUAUAUAUGUAGGACAAUAACUGUAAUUUCAUAUAAUAAAACUGCUUGAUUCACAAUUAAAAGGAACAGUUUCUUCAAAAUAUAAUAGCCGUAUUGCAAUGUUCAUGUUAAAAUUACUUCUUUGUGAACUUAUUUGAUUACAUGUAUCUGACAUAAAACAAAAUGACAAAAGUAGCGGUACAUAAAUUUUACUAUGAAUCAAGUAAUAAAGUAUCAAACACUUUCUUUAUCUUAUAUUUGCAGGUUAUAAAUACGUCUUUCAACCAAACUUAAACAGAGCAGCCUGCAAUGGUAAUCGAUAUCAGCC
rnacentral:lncRNA from 1 species